GUUUUCCAUCCACGAGCAAUAAUAUAAUUUUUCAUAUGUGCGAUUACAGUUGGAAAGAUGCCAGCGUUCAUUCUGAAUGCCCAAAGUAUUAAAAAACAUUGUUGAUUUAUUACACUUUUUCUUCCCCAGCCACAGUAUUGUCACAGUAUUAUGACAUUUAUUGCCUGUAAUCCUUGAUCAUGCUUAUGUUUCUCUGUUUUUGUUCGCAUACUUGGCACCAAUCUCUUGGAGCGUGUACCUCUGAUUCUUGAGGUGGAGAGGAGUAAGGAGAAAUUCUGGCACAGUUAUACAGUCUGAAGAAACUGCAAAGAGCCUAUCACAGGUCUGUGUCAAGGUUAUGUGAUGAAAUUGACUGAAUCCAUUCAUCAACUGUCCAGUGCUUCAAAGAGGGCUUCACUAGUAUUGUGCAUGAGCUUGCACCAAAUAAAAUCCUUUUGGCCAAAAUAUACAUUGAAGCAAGAGAGGAGAUGCUUGCAGAUGAUCUUCCAGUGUGUUGCUGAUACAUCAUAUGAAAAUGGCUUUCACCAGGAUGGUUCAAGUCCUGAUCAAAUGGAUGGUGUGCCGGGGGAAUAAGGAUCAAAGAGGGGGUAAUUGCAGCCUUCAGUGCAUACUUUCUUUUUUAACAUGACUUUUUUCACCCUGUAUGAAAAAUAUGCUCACUUCUUGCAAUGUGCUAUUGCAAAGAUAUGAGUCAAGAAUCAUUCAAAGAUGUCCUGUGUUCCAGAAGAGACUAUUAACAAUGAAAAAGAAAAAUGGUCAUAUUAAACUCACCCUCAUGUUGUUUCAAAGCUGUAUGACUUUUCUUAUGUGGGGACAGAAAAGGAGAUAUUUUUAAUGAAUAUCACAGCCCACACUUUCAAAGCAAUGGCAGUGGAUAGAGGCUCAAUUUAAGGCUUAGAGGACCCAAAAGAUGUCAUAAAAGUAGUCCAUGUGACUUGUGCAUCUAAUUUCAAGUCGUCUGAAGGCAUACGAUAAUUAAUUUUUUUGUGAGAAACAACCUUAAAUGAGAGAAGCUCCUUCUAAGUGGUUUGUGUGUUCAUAUGUUCAUUUUGUUCUUUUUUUAAGCUUUAAAAUGAGGUUCUGUCAAUUGCCAUUGUGUUGAAAAGAUAGCCUGUGAUGUUCAUUAAAACCUCUCCUUUUAUGUGCUCCUAAAAUUUAUUUUUGGUUGAGUAUUAAAGGGUACUGAAGUUCAAAUGAAAUGUGUAGUCGUAUUUUUAAAGCAAAAUGGCUAAAAGAAAAUAUGUAUCCUACUGUAUUUGAUGACAAAUUGUGAUUCUGAGAUGUUUAAAGUGUU